CGAAACCAAGAGUAAACAGGGUAAAUGCUACAUCUUUACAGUACAUGAAAUAUGUUCACUCAAACUCAGUUGAGUGCUGGUUAGGUAACGUUAAUCCUCCAUGUUUUUACUGUUUGUUUCGCCAGCUAUGCUUUGCAGCGAAUAUAAAUACCUUCAUAACAUUUAAAUAAAAUGUGUUCAUCUAUGAAACAGUAAAAAUGGUUGAGGGUUUAUAAUUUAGCUGAAUGGACAUAACUAAAGCUGUACUACUUGUGCCUAGUUAACUUGACAACAAUGUUCUUACUGUAAAUGUCAUUACGGUUACAUGCACACAUUAAUGUGGUUAUUGUGCAUAGUCAUUAUAUAAUAGUUCGAUUCAAACGUUUACAUGCUUUGCAAGAAUAACGAUCUCUAAUAAUCAUGUAUACAUGGACACGUCGGAAAUCAGAUUACCCGAUGGCACUCUGACAAAUGCCGAAAAUCGCCAAUCAAAAUAAACGUUCUUCCACCGCGACCGCGUUAUUUUUGGGAAGCAUAUUUGACAUAUAAAGCUUUAUGUGAAAACUACUAUGAAGCCGAAACCACAGAGACACGCCGUCAGAAUUUGCGUGCGAGAGUAGAGUGCGUCAAUUCACAUACACAGCAUCGCAUAUGCAAUUUAAUGGUCAUUACAUAACAAACAGUUGUAUUUGUUAUGUUCGCUAUGUGCCCUUGUGAAUUAAUGUGUUCCUUUUGAUUAACCUUAUGUCCUACAGGAGCCACCGUACAUGCCUAAUCUAAACAGUUAUGUUAGCUCACGAAUGUGAGGAGUUGUUGCUCAUACACCCGAGCAGAUUUUAAAGAAUUUAUCUUGUCUCAUUCGUUCUACACAACAGUAUUCUCUCUUGAAAUCAGAGUUCCUCGAGUUUCCCAGCCCUAGCCUGCCUAGCUAAGUUAUAUUCCUGUGAUGGAAAUCAACACAGGUGCCUCCUUGCUUUGCUGUUCAUUGCUAUCCUUAUCAACAAGUUGAUAGGACCAUCUUUCUCCACCCUCUU